rnacentral:rRNA from 1 species
GUGGCGGACGGGUGAGUAACGCGUGAGAACCUGCCUUUAGGAUGGGGACAACAGUUGGAAACGACUGCUAAUACCCGAUAGGCCGCAAGGUAAAAGAUUUAUCGCCUGAAGAGGGGCUCGCGUCCGAUUAGCUAGUUGGUGGGGUAAAGGCUUACCAAGGCAGCGAUCGGUAGCUGGUCUGAGAGGACGAGCAGCCACACUGGGACUGAGACACGGCCCAGACUCCUACGGGAGGCAGCAGUGGGGAAUUUUCCGCAAUGGGCGCAAGCCUGACGGAGCAAUACCGCGUGAGGGAGGAAGGCUUUUGGGUUGUAAACCUCUUUUCUCAAGGAAGAAGACCUGACGGUACUUGAGGAAUCAGCAUCGGCUAACUCCGUGCCAGCAGCCGCGGUAAUACGGAGGAUGCAAGCGUUAUUCGGAAUUAUUGGGCGUAAAGCGUCCGCAGGUGGUGUCUCAAGUCUGCUGUCAAAGACCGGAGCUUAACUUCGGGCAGGCGGUGGAAACUGAAACACUAGAGUACGGUAGGGGUAGAGGGAAUUUCCAGUGUAGCGGUGAAAUGCGUAGAGAUUGGAAAGAACACCAGUGGCGAAGGCGCUCUACUGGACCGUAACUGACACUCAGGGACGAAAGCUAGGGUAGCGAAAGGGAUUAGAUACCCCUGUAGUCUUAGCUGUAAACGAUGGAUACUAGGCGUUGCUUGUAUCGACCCGAGCAGUGCCGUAGCCAACGCGUUAAGUAUCCCGCCUGGGGAGUACGCACGCAAGUGUGAAACUCAAAGGAAUUGACGGGGGCCCGCACAAGCGGUGGAGUAUGUGGUUUAAUUCGAUGCAACGCGAAGAACCUUACCAGGGCUUGACAUCCCACGAAUUUUGGGGAAACUCAAAAGUGCCUUCGGGAACG